rnacentral:rRNA from 1 species
UACGUAGGGUGCAAGCGUUGUCCGGAAUUAUUGGGCGUAAAGGGCUCGUAGGCGGUCCGUCACGUCGGGAGUGAAAACUUGGGGCUUAACCCCAAGCCUGCUUCCGAUACGGGCGGACUAGAGGUAGGCAGGGGAGAACGGAAUUCCUGGUGUAGCGGUGAAAUGCUUAGAUAUGACACAGAACACCGAUUGCGAAGGCAGCUCGCUAAACUGUAACUGACGCUGAGGCACGAAAGCGUGGGGAUCAAACAGG